rnacentral:rRNA from 1 species
CCUACGGGUGGCAGCAGUAGGGAAUAUUGCGCAAUGGGGGAAACCCUGAAGCAGCAACGCCGCGUGGAGGAUGAAGGUUUUAGGAUUGUAAACUCCUUUUGUUAGAGAAGAUAAUGACGGUAUCUAACGAAUAAUCACCUGCUAAUUUCGUGCCAGCAGCCGCGGUAAUACUGAGGGCGCAAGCGUUAGUCGGAAUCACUGGGCGUAGAGAGAGCGCAGGCGGGUUUGUAAGUCAGAUGUGAAAUCCUUUGGCUUAACUAGAGAAUUUCAUUUGAAACUGGGAGGCUAGAGUGUAGGAGAGGAGGGUGGAAUUCUUGGUGUAGGGGUGAAAUGCGUAGAUAUCAAGAGGAAUACUCGUUGCGAAGGCGACUCACUGGACCGUUACUGACGCUGAUGCUCGAAAGCGUGGGGAGCAAACAGGAUUAGAUACCCGUGUAGUC